AUAAUUUAUAAUAUUCGAUGAUCCUGUAAUGGCAACGUGAAAUAAUAACGGUAAUUGACCUUUCAAUCGCCUUGCAUUAAAUCAGAUUUUAACAAGAAGAUAAAACCAUAAAAUUGUUCGAUACAUUUAAGAAACUUUCUUAUCGUUCACAAUUAAAUGGAUUUAUCUUGAUAAUCCUAGUGAACAUCUGUUACAGUGUUUACAUAAGAACGCAAAGCAACGUAGAUAGACGACGUUAGGUUUCAAAGAAAAUAGACGAUGAAAAUAUACAUUUUCUUUCCAUUUGUUCUUAUUGGCGCCGACAUGGGAAUCAUUUGUCCACCAAUGGCAAGACGACACUGUGAUAUUCCUGUAUCCUUUUUCAAAAGUCUCCUCCACGAUGAGUCGUUUUGCGAUGAAUAUCGAGCAAGCGCUAAAUGUUUGCAUGCAAUACACGACCAUUGUAAUAUAUAUUUCAUACAUGCCUAUCAGCAUAAGUGUAAGGACAUUGAAACAUAUCCAGGCUACCCCAUGCAAAAUAUGAUGGUGUGAAUUAUAUCAGACGUUAACGUGAAUAAAAAAAAACAUGGAUUGACAUGUAACGUAUCUCAGAACUCUGUGCAACUGAACGCAAAACACAUCAGAAAUAAUGUCGGAAUGGAAUUGGCAUUUGCUUCUGCAGUUGCUAAUAAAUUUAUAUAUUAAAUAUUGAAAUAAAUACAGGUUUAAAGACUUCCGUGUAAUAACACUGUUUGUGCUAUUUUGGUAUUUACUUAUUUAUGUAACUAUACUUUGAAUGUCCAAAAUUUAAAAUUUUACGUAGACAACAAGGUCACAGGUUACUUCUCAAUAACUUACAAACAUUCACGUCCAUUUCAUUUCAUUAUUUUGAAGAUUACGUUUCAUAUCAAACGUUUCAUUUCCCCGUAUAAUAAAGAACAUGUAUCAGUUGUUUGAAUACAUUUGUAAAAAGGAAUAUAGAUUUUAUUACCAAUUUGUAAUUCCUACUUACUUCUCACCCGUCCUAUAUAUAUACAUACAUACAUAAGUAUGUAUGCUUGUUCCUUUUUAUCGCUUUCUAUACAUACUAAUGUGUGUAUAGGCACACAUUUUUCAUACAUAUACAUUUGUGCAUGUUUAUCAAUCCCACAAUUACUUAUUAUUACUUCUAGAUAAAAGAUAAACGAAGUGAUUUGAUUAGAAUUCUUCGAGGCAGCGCUCUAGUAAUAACCAGAGAUAUAGGACUAAAACAUUGUAAAAGAUAAACUAUUUUAUGUUCGAUAAAUUAUUGGUUUAAAUCAUAUUUCACAUCUAAACAAAACAUGUCUGCAUAUGAUCAGAUUAGCUAAGUUUAUUAUACGUCGCAAUUCAUCAAAUAUAUUUAUUUAUGAUGUUGAUACACAUCUGUUACAAUGGUUUCUUAAGCACUUAAACAAUGCAACGUGGACAUAAGUCUUAGUGUCAGUGAAUAGAGACGAUGAAAAUUUAUAUCUACAUUUCUUUACUCAGUGUUGUUUCAGGUGCGAUGGUUCGAUAUUGCCCAGAUCAGGCAGAAUUGUUAUGCACUUUUCCCAAACAUUUGUUUAUAGAUUUGAAUCACGAUAGUGAGUUUUGCAGUAAAUUUCAAAAUAAGGCUGAAUGUUUGAUGAAUAUGAAAGAUUACUGUCCUGGAGUAUACAAGAACUACUUUUAUCAUAAAUAAUUCCCAUGAGUUAAAAAAACUUGAAGCCUCAACCACCCGAAACAUGGUCAGAAUGGAUCUAUUAUUUUCUGCAGUACUCCUUUAUAAAUUGAUAUAAUAAAAUAUUUAAAUAAAUACACAUUUAAAUAAUU